AGUGAACGCUGGCGGUAGGCCUAACACAUGCAAGUCGAACGGCAGCACAGUAAGAGCUUGCUCUUACGGGUGGCGAGUGGCGGACGGGCGAGGAAUACAUCGGAAUCUACUUUUUCGUGGGGGAUAACGUAGGGAAACUUACGCUAAUACCGCAUACGACCUACGGGUGAAAGCAGGGGAUCUUCGGACCUUGCGCGAUUGAAUGAGCCGAUGUCGGAUUAGCUAGUUGGCGGGGUAAAGGCCCACCAAGGCGACGAUCCGUAGCUGGUCUGAGAGGAUGAUCAGCCACACUGGAACUGAGACACGGUCAAGACUCCUACGGGAGGGAGCAGUGGGGAAUAUUGGACAAUGGGCGCAAGCCUGAUCCAGCCAUACCGCGUGGGUGAAGAAGGCCUUCGGGUUGUAAAGCCCUUUUGUUGGGAAAGAAAAGCAGCAAGUUAAUACCCCGCUGUUCUGACGGUACCCAAAGAAUAAGCACCGGCUAACUUCGUG
rnacentral:rRNA from 1 species